UCCCAGGUGGUCUAGUGGUUAGGAUUCGUGGCUCACACCCACGCGGACCGUGUUCGAUUCCCGGUCUGGGAA
rfam:Ciona savignyi cont_26118, whole genome shotgun sequence.